AAAUCAAUCAUGGCUGAUUUACAACCCAGCUUUUUCAUGUAUAUUAACAACACGUACGAUCACAGCACUGCACGAUUGUUUAAAGAGUUUGCGUCGCUCAACACCAAACAUAGCAACGCGCUAGUACGGAAAAACUUCCUCCUACAAUGUCGUCGCCGAGGAGUUUUUCCAGCACACAUAAUCAACUCGCUAAAAUGUGUCUAUCCAAUUCUCGAAGAACGUAGCCCCUACACCAACAAGCUACAGCGCAUUGUAGAGCGUUUCAAAAAAUCUCUGCUGAAUGUUGAAAUAAAACAUACAUUCUACAAGAUCAAACAUCUCCAGCGCAGCAGAGAUAGCAUCAAAUCAGAGAUCACCACCCACUCCCCGGUGGAGCUCUAUGCAAGGUUUUUCACCACUCAAGAGCAAUCGCAUGAACGAAACAUCCGUCAAAACGAACGCAAAACAAACGCUAAGCUUCAACGACUAAUAGCACGCACAUCUGAGCAGUGGGACCCAACUCCCACCCACAACGAAAAAUCCAUACUGAAUGCUACCAAAUAUCAAAGAUUUUUAAGUACAAGAUGCCCAACUCUAGCUUUUCCCAUACUAUUGAUUGGCGAACAGAACCAUCCAACAAGAGCGCCUACUUGCGGCGAGAAGUCGAACUAUUUCAACAAGGAAAAUCGAAGUAGCAUUGGUUUUUCACUUCAUCGUAAACGUCAUUCGAGAAAGUGGCGGUUCGUUGAUUGUUGCAGUCCAUAUCUACCAAUCUCGAAACCUCACCAUUCAAUAGAACAAAAUUCGUAUCGGAAUGUGAUCGAACCCAAACUGUACUGAUCCGCGAAUGGACGCCCUUGAAAUUGACCGGCCGGAGAGAAAUAGCAACACAACUGGAACAGGAUGACACAUCGACAAAUAGAAAGGACGGAAGCGCAUUGAAAUGGUAUUUAGUCACGAAUUGGUGAAGCAGCCAGUUCUUUCCAACUCUGACGAGCUGAAUUCGACUUGAAACUCGACCACUGAGGAGGAGACCCAACGCAGCAGGAAAAGGCGAUGCCAAUGUUUCCGUUUACAAUUCGGAUCAUGCUGCCAACUAAAAUCAGUACCUACACUAAAAUCAAAUGAGUACACCCUCUCUUGACUAGGCUUUCCCUCAGAAGAGCAAUAAACAACACGACCGAAGGAAUAAGAGAUCGACAACCCACCGGAUCAUGAAGAUGUGCUGUGCGUUCUCGACUAGGCCUCACAUUGCUUCAAUAAUCAUUAUGUAAAUGUAUUUUGGUUUGCGCGAAAUAAAAUGCAGAACGGAA